UCAGCAACAAACUUCCUCUUGGAAACAACUUCGUGAUAGAAAGUUGCAGCCUCAAGAGACACAAAAAAAGGAGGAAGGUUCCAUGGAGACAUAGGGGUUAGGUCGAGACUUAGGAGCCCUAGGAAUAGCAAGUAUGAUGAGAGUUGGCAGAAGACAUGGCGCAAAACAAACGAAGAGAAAAAACAUAAGCGAAACAGAAGAAACGAGAGAAGGCGACAAAAAGAAGAAAGAAGAACAGCUGAAAACCUGGAAAAAGAGUAAAAGUGAGAUAGAGACAAAAAAAGAAGAUACGUGGUACCUAAAAACUUUUUAGGUUUUCUGAUUUUUGAAUUUUUUUU
rnacentral:lncRNA from 1 species